UACGUAGGGUGCAAGCGUUAAUCGGAAUUACUGGGCGUAAAGCGUGCGCAGGCGGUUGUGCAAGACAGAUGUGAAAUCCCUGGGCUUAACCUGGGAAUGGCAUUUGUGACUGCACGGCUAGAGUGUGUCAGAGGGGGGUAGAAUUCCACGUGUAGCAGUGAAAUGCGUAGAUAUGUGGAGGAAUACCGAUGGCGAAGGCAGCCCCCUGGGAUAACACUGACGCUCAUGCACGAAAGCGUGGGGAGCAAACAGG
rnacentral:rRNA from 1 species